GUGUGUCUGAGGGCGCUGCUGGGGGCUGGUUAUGUCUCUUUCCUCUCAGUGUGCAGUUGGUAGCUUUGAGCCGAACACGGUCACCCAGGUCUCUGGGUUUUCUCCUCUAAGCCAGCUGGUCUGGCUUUAUACCUUCUUCUAGUCCUCUUUUACUCCUUUGUUCCAUUUCAUCCCUUCUUUUCUGAGCUAAAGGAUAGAGUGAUCUGACCCACAGCUGGAGCUGUAGGGAACCUUCCUGGGGAAGAUAAUACAAGCAGCACUGGUGCUCUGUAAACCAAUGGACCUGAGGCCCUUAGAGACCACCCUGAUGAAACACUCAGACACAGACUGACUGACACAGAUGAGAGAGAGAUUGAGAUAAAGCCAGAAGGGAAGAGAGAGAACCGAAACCUGAAACGCAUGCAGGAGGAUCUGGGGCUGAAGCUUUGACAGAACAGAAGGAAGUGCAAGUAAUUGACUGGAGUGAAUGCCAGAAGAAUUGAGAGGGGAAAAUAAAGAGAAUAACUGCUGUGAGGAUUGAACGAGAAAGAGGAACAGGACUUUUGGGAUAGGAGAGAAAGAGAAGGAGUGAAGAUGGGGAGGAAAAGAUCCAGAUAGCACGGAUUAUGGAUGAACGCAACAGACAGGUAAAUGAACACACACACACU